UAGUGGCAGACGGGUGAGUAAUGUAUAGGAAUCUACCUAGUAGUACGGAAUAAUUGUUGGAAACGGCAACUAAUACCGUAUACGCCCUACGGGGGAAAAAUUUAUUGCUAUUAGAUGAGCCUAUAUUAGAUUAGCUAGUUGGUGGAGUAAUAGCCUACCAAGGCAAUGAUCUAUAGCUGAUCUGAGAGGAUGAUCAGCCACACUGGAACUGAGAUACGGUCCAGACUCCUACGGGAGGCAGCAGUGGGGAAUAUUGGACAAUGGGCGAAAGCCUGAUCCAGCCAUGCCGCAUGAGUGAAGAAGGCCUUUGGGUUGUAAAGCUCUUUUAGUGAGGAAGAUAAUGACGGUACUCACAGAAGAAGUCCUGGCUAACUCCGUGCCAGCAGCCGCGGUAAUACGGAGAGGGCUAGCGUUAUUCGGAAUUAUUGGGCGUAAAGGGCGCGUAGGCUGGUUAAUAAGUUAAAAGUGAAAUCCCGAGGCUUAACCUUGGAAUUGCUUUUAAAACUAUUAAUCUAGAGAUUGAAAGAGGAUAGAGGAAUUCCUGAUGUAGAGGUAAAAUUCGUAAAUAUUAGGAGGAACACCAGUGGCGAAGGCGUCUAUCUGGUUCAAAUCUGACGCUGAAGCGCGAAGGCGUGGGGAGCAAACAGGAUUAGAUACCCUGGUAGUCCACGCUGUAAACGAUGAAUGUUAAAUAUGGGAAGUUUACUUUCUGUAUUACAGCUAACGCGUUAAACAUUCCGCCUGGGGACUACGGUCGCAAGAUUAAAACUCAAAGGAAUUGACGGGGACCCGCACAAGCGGUGGAGCAUGUGGUUUAAUUCGAUGCAACGCGAAAAACCUUACCACUUCUUG
rnacentral:rRNA from 1 species